GCCCGGACGUAACACAACAAUCAAAUAACUAAUUGUUCGCCAAAUAACUACGAGUAUAAACUUAAAAUUUAAAAGACUUGACGGUGCUUCACACCAACCUAGAGGAGCCUGUCUAACAACCGAUACUCCACGAUUAACCCAACCCACCCUAGCCUGACAGUCUAUAUACCGCCGUCGCCAGCCCACCUUAUGAAAGAAAUAUAGUGAGCAAAAUGGGUUUUUCCCCCCCCCCACGACAGGUCGAGGUGUAACUUAUGGGUGGGUAAAAGAUGGGCUACAUUUUCUAACACAGAAUACACGAAUAUACUAUGAAACUAGAAACUGAAGGCGGAUUUAGCAGUAUGAUAAGAAUAGAAUGCUUAACUGAAACCAAUGCAAUGAAGCGCGUACACACCGCCCGUCAUCCCUGUUAACAACCAUAAAAAAAUUCAUAAACCACACCCCUACCUAAAGCAGGGC
rnacentral:rRNA from 1 species